rnacentral:rRNA from 1 species
UACGGGGGGGGCAAGCGUUGUUCGGAAUUACUGGGCGUAAAGGGCUGGUAGGCGGCCAACUAAGUCCGACGUGAAAUCCCAAGGCUUAACCUUGGAACUGCGUCGGAUACUGGAUGGCUUGAAUUCGGGAGAGGGAUGCGGAAUUCCAGGUGUAGCGGUGAAAUGCGUAGAUAUCUGGAGGAACACCGGUGGCGAAGGCGGCAUCCUGGACCGAGAUUGACGCUGAUGAGCGAAAGCUAGGGGAGCAAACGGG